AGGCGCCCCCAAGCUACCAUUUUAAAGUAAGCAAAAAGAUGUGCUUUUUAAAUAUACCUUAUACUAAGUAGCCAUUUAAUGGGAGAAAUAACCUUUGUACUAAUGAGAUUUGAAAACGAAUAUAAAGGCAAAACUGAAUUUUCUCUAAUAACCUUGUUGCUCCGGCACUGGAACCGUAGCCAUUUGAGUACCAAAUGAUCCCCUAAGGGAAAAACAGUUUCCGUGGGUGUGAUCGGAUGCUCUGGUAUGUGUAUAAGCAGAGAGAGGGAUAAAGUUAAGGACGAAGAUGGAGAGAAUUCACUGUUCAGUGUUUUUCCAGAAGAUCAGAGACAAAGAAAGAAAAGAAGGAAGUACAAGGAGGAAAGAGGGAAUGAAAGCCCAUGUUAAUGAUAUCAGGGGUAGAUAUUCUUCUGUUCUGUCCAGUGCGUAUACACUAUCACCAUGAAAGUCUUUUGACUCCUCUCUGAGAAGCUGUCUAGCUUAUGUCACAGCUCUGUGCUCCACGCUGUCAUAAAGAGCGAUUUGCCACUGCUUUCCCGUGACCUAGGUAAGAGCUCAUCAGCUAAUUCCAAGUUUGUUUUUUGAAGGUUGGAAUGGGACAGUACUAUCUAGACACUAUGUAUUUGAAGUAGUCUCACCUCUGAGUAAAGAAACGAUGGCUUUGUAACUUUGUGUCUUUCAACGCUGUAGGUUGUGGGAAUACAACUGAACAUACCUUUAUGGCUCUUGGCUGGAAUCUCUAAGGUGGGUCUUAGAAGAAACCAAAAUAAUUGAUUUUGAAGGUCUUGGUAGAAAAGAUUUCUUCCCUCAACAUUGAAAGCUCUUCAGAUCAGAGUUCUGUGGAGAAUAUUCUGUGCUGGUAAUUGUUCCUAAUCAGCUGGAUGAAAGAGAAAGCAAAAAGUGCUUUUGAUACCUUCCCUGAAAAUGUCUGCAGCAUAAUAAUCUGAUAAGGGUAUAAUCACUAUGAUAAUCUUUAUAUUCACUAUGAUUCAACCUUCACCAAGUUCUAGCUAUGCUAGAAAGUGGAUUUUGACUGAGUAGAACAGCUCAUCUCGGUCACUCUACAGAAAUGGAGGACCACCACCUUCGACAUGUGAUAAGCCUUUGGAAACUGGUGCCUUGGGCAAGGAUACGCCCAACUGGUACCUGCAGACUUUCAUCUACUUACGGGUUGCAUGUUACAAUGAGCAUCAUCUUUCUGUAUGUCUGAGAUGAGUUUUCAAAAAGCCAUGAACCAUGAUAAACCCCAGGAAAACUGUGAAGCUCAAGGACGACUCUACAUCUCGACGUCAAGUGUCUGGCCCAUAACACGUGCUCAAUGAAUUCCUGUUGACAGAAUAAAUAUGUAAGUGUUGCAAGAGAGUUUCUUGCAGUCGGGGGGAAAAGGCCUUAAAUAAUAUUUCAUAGAUCGCAUGCAGUCGCUUGCUCUGUUUGUCCUGCGGUGACCCCAGCCCACAUA